CCAAACUUGGUCAUUUAGAGGAAGUAAAAGUCGUAACAAGGUUUCCGUAGGUGAACCUGCGGAAGGAUCAUUCAUAAUAAGUGUUUUAUGGCACUUUUUAAAAUCCAUAUCCACCUUGUGUGCAAUGUCAGUUGUUCCUUGCGAAUAACUAAACAUCAACCUAACUUAAUGUAAUAGCAAUCAGGAAGAUGGUGGUGGACGAGAGCUAGAGGCAGGAACCAAUGAUCUUUAUUGUACAGGAAAACUAGGGUAUUUAUGUAUGCUACGCUAGGGGUGUGAUUAGGGGUGAUGUGGUUACAUGUGGUGUGGUUAGGGGGCGAUGUGGUUAGAUGGAGGGUGUGGUUAUGAUACUGUGACACUUAACCUUUAGUCUGAAAAAUAUUUUGAAUAAUUAAUUCAAAUACAAAUUUCAACAACGGAUCUCUUGGCUCUCGCAUCGAUGAAGAACGCAGC
rnacentral:misc_RNA from 1 species